CUAUACCACAACGGUCCUUUUCAGGACCACACAUCUUUGCAUUUUACAUCUUGGUUUCCUGUGUUUACCGACAACAGAGACCAGUUACUCAUAUUUAUUUUAAAUCACAUUUAAAUAAUUAUUAUUUUGAACAGUAUAGUUUAGUAAAGUAGUUAGUGUGUAUUAGUGUUAGUUUACAUUGUAUUAAGGCACUUUCUAGUGCAUUAGGUUAGGUUAGGUUAUCUUAGGUUAGGUUAGGUUAGGUUAGAUUAGAUUAAAACACCUUUUUAAUUGCCACACAUAGUACAGUCUCAAAUACUUACAGUUUUAGUUGUCCUGUUUAACUACUGUCUCCAGUUUUCCCCAGUGUUUUUCAGGUGAGUAAACCAUUUGAAGUAAUAAAGUUGCAUGAAAAAAAUCCACUAUCCUAUCUAAAAGGAUGCUUUCAGCCAUGGUAAACCAAGAACAUCACUCGAUGGUGGUUAGAUUAGCUUUUUUUUUUUUUUUUUUUUUUUUUAUUGUAGUCUGCACCACUGGAGAUGUCAGAUUACAAUUAAUAUUAUUAUAUUGCAGGUAACUGG